UACGUAGGGGGCAAGCGUUGUCCGGAAUCAUUGGGCGUAAAGAGCGUGUAGGCGGUCCGGUAAGUCGGCUGUGAAAGUCCAGGGCUCAACCCUGGGAUGCCGGUCGAUACUGCCGGACUAGAGGUCGGAAGAGGCGAGUGGAAUUCCCGGUGUAGCGGUGAAAUGCGCAGAUAUCGGGAGGAACACCUAUGGCGAAGGCAGCUCGCUGGGACGUUACUGACGCUGAGACGCGAAAGCGUGGGGAGCAAACAGG
rnacentral:rRNA from 1 species